rnacentral:rRNA from 1 species
UACGAAGGGGGCUAGCGUUGUUCGGAUUUACUGGGCGUAAAGCGCACAUAGGCGGAUGUGUCAGUCAGGGGUGAAAUCCCGGAGCUCAACUUCGGAACUGCCCUUGAUACAGCACGUCUUGAGUCCGGAAGAGGUGGGUGGAAUUCCUAGUGUAGAGGUGAAAUUCGUAGAUAUUAGGAAGAACACCGGUGGCGAAGGCGGCCCACUGGUCCGGUACUGACGCUGAGGUGCGAAAGCGUGGGGAGCAAACAGG